AUUCCCAAUAAGGAUUAAUAUCAAAGAUAUGGUGAGUAAAUAUUUGUUUAUAAUAUGAACCUGUUGAUACAACAUGUCUUGUUACAAUUAGAUGAUAUACAUGAAUAUAUACACAACAGAAAUUACAUGUAGGGAGUUGAGAGCAGUGUACAUAUAUUUAUCAAUCAGUAUCAAAGAGGUCAUUGCACUGACCUGACCAUGCAAAAUAUAUAUUUAUAUACAAAAAAUGUCACACAUAGUAGAAAAGGCUUCGAUUUUCGUAUUCGGUUUAAAAUAUUUGAGCAGAAAUUGCAUUUCAUGUUUUAUCAUAUUUAAAAUCACCAAUUUACUUAUCCCUUUCUUUUGAUAUUUUGCGAUAUUUCUAGUUUUCCAGAUAACCCAUUUCGUGAUUAAAAGCACCGUAUCUAAAAUUUGGGUAUAAGCUGCAUCUGCAUUAAUGACCCCAAAAAUUAUACUUGUUUCCGAUUUUUGUAAUUUUUGGAUAUUUAAUUUUGAACAAAAUUCCCUAUU
rnacentral:lncRNA from 1 species